GAUAAUUAGGACACGGUUGUCUAAUCUAGAAAAAUUGCCUAAAUACAAAAUAGACCCCAUCUCAUGCACCCCAUCUCAACUCCAUUUCACUACAUUCAGUACAAUCAAGUCUACCAUCAUCUCCCAGUACUGGAUCAAGUGGAAAUAAUAGAUUUUAUAGGUUCAACCAAUCAUUUUCAGAUGAAUAUUUUGUAGAUCUCAUUUACCAAGCUGAUUUUUCAAGACACUUUCAUGACCUGCCACCAGAGAGCGACUCCAAUAUUGAUUUUUCCGCAGGCACACCAACAUGAAAUUGAUGAACUGAGAACAAUAUAAUAAACUGUCACAAAAUUUCAUGGGAAUCUUUGGUGGUUGUCUCCUUUCUCUGUGAUUCCAUCUCUUUUGUAGUUUGUUGGCCCUCAGUGCUACUGCUGGAAGGCUGUACACCAUACUCACUGGUGACUCCACUGUACUCACUACUACCAUGUUCUUGGCUUUCUAGCGCCAUCUUCCUGAAUUUCUUCAAGUCUUCCUUGUAUUGGCUAGAACUAUAGUCUGACCUUCCAUAAGAACCAUAUAUCAUGCUGUGCCCAGGUGUGAUUCCAUCACUUAAAUCAUCUAGGGGCAUAUUUCCUUCCAAAGCUCGAACUAUCUGGCUCAUUUGUGGCCGAAGCCGUGCUGAAUGACGUAUACAAGCUGCAGCACAUGAAAUCAUUCGACUCAUUUCACUGGAAUCAUAUUCCCCCUGUAACUUUGGAUCAACAAGAGCAUCAUAGGUGCCUUCUUCCAAAGCUUGUUUGAGCAAAGGCCUUGCCCAAUCAACUAUGCUAUCAUCAAGGAAGGAUUGAGUCCUAUCAACAGGUCGGCGCCCCGUAAUCAACUCAAGAAGCACAACGCCAAAGGAAAAGACAUCUGAUUUCUCGGUAAGCUUACCAGAAGAGGCAUACUCUGGAGC
rnacentral:misc_RNA from 1 species